ACCCUCGAGUGGGGAAUAACCACUUCAACGAGUGGCUAAUUCCGCAUGUGCCCGCUUUCUCGCAUGGGAAGGCGGUCAAAGGUGGGGAUCUUCGGACCUGCCGCUCGAGGAGGAGCCCGCGUCCCAUUAGCUUGUUGGUGAGGUAACGGCUCACCAAGGCCGCGAUGGGUAGCCGAUCUGAGAGGAUGACCGGCCACACUGGGACUGAGAUACGGCCCAGACUCCUACGGGAGGCAGCAGUCGAGAGGCUUCGGCAAUGGGGGAAACCCUGACCGAGCGACGCCGCGUGCGGGAUGAAGGCCCUCGGGUUGUAAACCGCUGUCAGGAGGGAAGAAUCCUUCCGGGCCAAUACCCCGGAAGUUGACGGUACCUCCAGAGGAAGCUCCGGCUAACUCCGUGCCAGCAGCCGCGGUAAUACGGAGGGAGCGAACGUUGUUCGGAUUUACUGGGCGUAAAGGGCGCGUAGGCGGUUUUGCAAGUCAGAGGUGAAAUGUCUCGGCUCAACCGAGGACCUGCCUUUGAAACUGCAGAACUUGAGGUCGUGAGAGGAGACUGGAAUUCCUAGUGUAGCGGUGAAAUGCAUA
rnacentral:rRNA from 1 species